UACAGAGGGUGCGAGCGUUAAUCGGAAUUACUGGGCGUAAAGCGUGCGUAGACGGUUAUGUAAGUCGGAUGUGAAAGCCCCGGGCUCAACCUGGGAAUUGCAUUCGAGACUGCAUAGCUAGGAUGCGGAAGAGGGAAGUGGAAUUUCCGGUGUAGCGGUGAAAUGCGUAGAUAUCGGAAGGAACACCAGUGGCGAAAGCGACUUCCUGGUCCAGCAUCGACGUUCAGGCACGAAAGCGUGGGGAGCAAACAGG
rnacentral:rRNA from 1 species